CCUGAAUUUGACCCUAGAACUCUGUGGCCGCUGAUGACUCAUCUUCAUAAUUAUCGGAUUGAAUCUUCUCUACUGGUCUGAUAAGAACUGAGGCUGGAAGGCGGAAGCCCUAUCUACAGGUGUCAGCUGGAACAAACAGUACAGCAGUCCUGAAGCAGAUGAUCCUCCUUCUGACGGAUCAGAAGGUCAAUAAUAGCCUAAAGCUACAUGCACAAAAGAAGCUGUGGACAAUAUGUAAACAAACGAACGUGGCUGUGUUCUAAGAAAACUAAGUGAACUUGGGGGUCAUCUCAGAAUUCUGCCUACCACCUCUAACCUGAAGAAUUAAAUCAGGUAUUAUCACAGUGGCAAAUUACACAUCUGGAAAAAUUAUGCUUUAUUUGGUAUCCUCCUUGCUUGGAGAAUUUAUAUUUAAAACACAACUCUAUAAAAACAAAGAUAAUAUGAAAGUCCUGAAAGAUCUAUAGCUAUUCACUAUAGCAAGAUUGUCAAAAUACCAAAUCACAUACUGAACUGUUUACAUAAAAAUGAUCAAAGUAGCAAAAGCUUUUAUUUUUUUUUUAUCUUAUUUAUUUAUUUCUGGACCAAGUAAUACACUCGCAGGGUUCACAUUUCCAAAGAUAAAGGGAUAUGCAGUGAAAAUCUCUGCCCCAGUUGUCUCUUUUCUGGAAAUAACUGAUGACUAGUUUCUUGUUUACCUUUUAUUUUGCAAUAGAUUACGGAAAUCAUUUCACAUUAGUACAUAAAGAGCUUCCUCAUACUUUUUAACAGCUGCAUAAUAUUCCAUUGUAUAGAUGUAGCACAGUUUAUUUAACAAAUCUCCUAUUGAUAAGCAUUUAGAAUGUUUCUAAUCUUUUGCUAUUACAAGAAGUUACAUAUUGGGGCUGACCUGGUGGCAUAGUGGUUAACUUCUCACACUUCACUUCAGUGGCCCAGGGUUCACAGGUUCAGAUCACAGGCAUGGGCCUACACACCACUCAUCAAGCCAUGUUGUGGUGGUGCCCCACAUUCAAAUAGAGGAAGACUGGAACAGAAGUUAGCUCAGGGACAAUCUUCUUCACCAAAAAAAAAAAAGUUUUGUAUUAAAUAAGUUAGUACCCACAUUAUUUCACACUUGCUCAAGCACACAUGCAGGAUAAAUUCCUGAAAGUGGAAUUGCUGCAUCAAAAUAUAUGUCCAUUUAUAAUUUUGAUACAUAUUGUCAAAUUGCUUGUGAUGAUAUUGUAUCAAUUUAAACUUUCAGCAGUAAAAUUGGAGUGCCUGUUAGACCAUGCUUUCUCCAACAGUGAAUUUCACUUGAUCUUUCCCAGUUUAUUGGGUGAAAAUGAUACCUUAUUAUGAGAGAACCAGAAGUUUUUUUCCCAUUUAUUUCUUUUUCUGUAAACUGUCUUUUUUUAAAUUGAAAUGUUG
rnacentral:lncRNA from 1 species